CCGCCACGGGAUGGGCUUGCGUCUGAUUAGCUUGUUGGGGUGGUAAAGGCACACCAAGGCGAUGAUCAGUAGCUGGUCUGAGAGGAUGAUCAGCCACACCGAGACUGAGAAACGGCUCGGACUCCUACGGGAGGCAGCAGUGAGGAAUUUUCCGCAAUGCGCGAAAGCGUGACGGAGCAAUGCGACGUGGAGGAUGACGGCCUGUGGGUUGUAAACUCCUUUUCUCAGAGAAGAAGUUCUGACGGUAUCUGAGGAAUAAGCACCGGCUAACUCCGUGCCAGCAGCCGCGGUAAUACGGGGGGUGCAAGCGUUAUCCGGAAUUAUUGGGCGUAAAGCGUCCUGAGGUGGCUUGAAAAGUCGUCCGUGAAAGCUCAGGGCUUAACCUUGAAACUGCGGUCGAAACUCCCAAGCUUUGAGUAGAGUAGAGGCAGAGGGAAUUUCCGGAGGAAUGGUGAAAUAUGUAGAUAUCGGAAAGAAGGCCAAAGGCGAAAGCACUCUGCUGGGCUCAUACUGACACUGAACGACGAAAGCUAAGGGAGCGAAAGGGAUUAGAUACCCCUGUAGUCUUAGCCGUAAACUAUGGAUACUAGGUGUUGCGUGAUUUAAAACCAUGCAGUGCCGUAGCAAACGCGUGAAGUAUCCCGCCUGGGGAGUAUGCUCGCAAGAGUGAACUCAAAGGAUUGACGGGGGCCGCA
rnacentral:rRNA from 1 species